rnacentral:SRP_RNA from 1 species
UCGCGCUAGAUGGGGCGUUAGCGGUGCCCUGUACCCGCAAUCCGCUACAGCGGGGUCGAAUUCCCCACCGAGGGGGCGUGGCGUUGGGUCUGCUCCGAGCGCGCUGGCGCUGACGAUCGGGUCCUACGCAGCCCGGGUCUGUGAAUCCCGUCAGGUCCGGAAGGAAGCAGCGGUAAACGGUCCCCCGGGGGUGCCGUAGCC